rnacentral:piRNA from 1 species
UCCUAUAUGUCCUUGUGCAGACUGUGU